AUCCCAUGAUGAGGACACUUACAAAGUAACUCCUUGAAUUGCUUUCAAACCCUCAUACAAAGACUCAUCAUCCAAUUAUUGGAAAGUUGUGAUCUCAUUCCUCAACUU
rfam:Gossypium hirsutum cultivar TM-1 chromosome 11, whole genome shotgun sequence